rnacentral:lncRNA from 1 species
GGGAGGGUUCUCGGUGAAGCCUGGAUCCCCUCCUCCGCCGCUCCCCCGCCCCCCGCCCCGCAAACAGGCACAGACGGGUAGUAUCCAGGGACAGGUGGGCAGAGCUGGGGCCAGUGCCUGGCGUCUGUCAGGGGUGUCCGCCAGGGCCCAUGCUUCCGGAGGCGGGGACAGCGGGAAGUCACAAAGUGUUCCCCGUGUCGCUUGACAGGUGUGGCCUGCUGGGCGGGAAUCCUGCCCCAGCACGCCGGUUCUCCCGGACAACCUGGGGUUGCAGCAGCCAUCAGUGCCUGCCUGCCUGCCCGCCUGCCUCUCACCCGGAGAGGUCAAGGUGAGCCCGCAGAGAAAGCUCCGGUGUCUCUAGAAGCGGGCGAGCUGCGGAGCGCCCCCUCCCAGCGGUUGUCACGCUGGAAGGCUUUUCCGAAGGGCUUCUGGGGUUUCUCCGGGGCUUGUUGGCCUGCCACUGACUUAGCGGGGCGCCGCCUCCUUCGAAAGUCACCGAGCGUUCGUUACCCGUUGCUGCAUCACACGUCUACCCCCAGGAGCCGCGCAGCGCGGCCGGCGCUCGAGGUCUCGCAGGUGUCUGAGGGCCAGGGUCCUGGAGGGCUUGGCUGGGGCUCCUGGCUGGAGGUGUGUCACAGGCUGCCGUCGAGGCAUCAGUCGGGGCCAGUCUGGUCGGCCUGGGGCAGGGGCUUGGGGGAGGGGAGGCUCUGCUUCCAGGAUCGCUGGCGGGGCUGUGGCGGGGCCGGGGCCUCCCCACCGGGCCGCUGGGGGCCGGGCUCCCCCAGAGCCAGCGAUCUGGGCGAGACAGAGCCGCCCCCGGGGCCAAGGCACGGUGCCGGUCUGAUGACUUCACCUCCAAGUGACCCUCCCUCCCCUCGGCUGGAUCUUGAUGGGUCACACAGGCCCAAGCCGGGAGCAGUGCAGGAGGGCCCGGCCAAUGAGAAGGCUCCAGGGAGCAUCCUUGCUCCUGAACCUGGCGCGGGAGGGGCUCCUGGUCCGCGCAGGCCCCUCGGGAGCGGGACCCUGUCCUCCGUCUGCGUGGGGGUGGCAGGUUCCAGCCCCCGGGACCAAGACAGGCAGGGCGUGUCACCCUUAGAUGGUCGCGGACAGGACACACGAAAAGCCAGAGAAAGAACAUGUGACCGAGCCCCUGCCUGGCCCCCACGGCCCGAGGUGUGUGCCCCCUGCCCUCUGCCCUUGCGGAGGAGCUGGCAGCCCUGGUGGCACAUGGACGAUCCCGGGGCUGGUUGGCACCUGGAGCCGCAGCCAGGCCGGGUCCUUAACCCACUGAGCGAGGCCACGGAUCGAACCCACGUGCUCCUGGAGACUAUGUUGGGUCCUUACCCCGCUGAGCUACAGUGGGAACUCCCAGGGAGCUCUUUCUUAUCCCAGCAGCCCACGCGCUGCCAGUGCCACCUCCGCCCGCACCCUGGCCUGGGCCCCAGGAUGCUCACUGGCCUCCGAGGUCCCCCCCCCCGCCGCCCAGUGACUCAGUCCUGCCCCGCUCCUGUCCUUCCCUGAGGGGGCUGGGGCAGUUCCCCUGCCCGAGGGUGGGUACCCCCUCUCUGCACAUGGGUGCGCUAUGCUCCCUCCUUUGGCGCUGCCCCCCCCCCGCCCCCGCCUGCCCUCUGGGGGAACCUGUCAGCAGCCAGGCCCUGGAGUGGGAUGAGCCACACACCCAAGGUCCUCGCCCCCGCCCCGGUCACUGGGCCUGCUGGCCCAGGUGUCAGCGGAGGGUCAGGGGCCGAGGCGUGGC